rnacentral:tRNA from 1 species
UCCUGGUUAGCUCAGUUGAUAGAGCUCUCCACGAGAAAUGUAGAGGUCCCUCGUUCGAUACUACGACCAGGCA